rnacentral:lncRNA from 1 species
AUUUUGGACAGCAGUUUUUCCAUCAGAUUAUUUUGUGGCAAGGGCUCUGGAACAGCCACAUAAAGGCUGAUGACUUCAGGGACAUGAGCAUGGGAUACCUGUCAUCACCACCACCAUAAAGUUGGGAUUCAGGAAGGAGGUUAAUCAUAUAAAGAAUCCUGUGACCAGUAUGAGCUUCUCUCAGGCCACACAGGGCACUCAAGUGAACAGGGCAUGGGGGCCCUGGGGUCAUGGUAAGAAAGUGUCUCAUUGGUAAAACCUUUUCCUCUGGGGAGGUAAAUAAAUGAUUUGUUUCUUCU